AUGGCAUGAUACAUAGCACCUCAUUCCCGGUAUCAUAACAGUGAUAGAUGCCACCAGUGUUAUACAAAACAUACAGCUGUGAAUGGCAUAGACCAUAAUGGUGGAGGACUCUCUACAGACAUGGCAUAACACUUAAGAACUCAUUCCCAAAUAUCAUGACCGUGAUAGAUGCUACCAAUGUUAUACAGAAUAUACAACAGUGAAUGGCAUAGACCAUGAUAGUGGAGGACUCUCUGCAGACAUGCCAUGACACUUAAGAGCCCAUUGUCCAAUAUAAUGACAGUGAUAGCUGCUACCAAUGUUAUACAGAACACACAGCAGUGAAUGACAUAGACCAUGAUACUGGAGGGCUCUGUGCAGAUUUGGCAUGACAUUUAAGAGCUCAUUCUGCCAUAUCAUGACAGUGAUAGAUGCUACCAAUUUUAUACAGAACAUAAGCAGUGAAUGACAUAGACCAUGAUACUGGAGGACUCUCUGCAGAUGUGGCGGUACUCGUAAGAGCUCAUUCACCAAUAUCAUGACAGUGAUAGAUGCUACCAAUGCUGUACAGAACAUGCAGCAGUGAAUGGCAUAAAUAAUGAUGGUGGUUAAGCCCAAGUUGAAAUCCUGGUAUUGGAAGACAUCUAUAUCUGCUUAGCAGCUAAUCAUGCCAAGAAAAUUGACUUGAAGAUUAUCUUCAGGAUCUGAUCCUGCAAAGGUGAAAACAGUGUGGAAAGGUUGAGCUCAAGUUGUCAUUCUGAUAUUGGAAGACAUUUAUACUUCCUGGGUAGCUAAUCAUGCAAAGGAAAACUACUAGAAGGCUGUUCUUAGAAUCUGAUCCUGUAAAAGUGAAAACACUUUAGAAAGGGAUGUGGAAUACCAUCAGAAACAUGAAACCAACUAUUAUUAACUAUGAAGAAGAGCAAAGCACCCUGGGCAUAUUAAUUAUAUUCCUGAAAAAAUAAAUAGGGGAAUUUUAAAGUCUGUACUGUUUAUUACACAGUAAUUGAUGACUGACUGCAUUUGUGAAAAAUAUUCUUUCACACAUUUUAUUUUAUCUUACUUUGCUCUCUGGAGAGUAUACAGUGGAGGAGAGUAGAAGCAAGUAGAAAAUUCAAGACUCAAGAAAAGUCAUGAAUAGAAAAGUUAGGAAAUAUUAGACAAACCUUUUGAAACCAUUAUGAUUAAUGGCAAUCUAAACAACUGUAGUUAAUCUACUGGAUGGGGUACAUCUCAGUGAUAUUGGUAAGGACAUAUAUAAUAGUAAAAUGGGCACAGCAAUUCAUGAAUUCACAAUGCAUAGUUAAUCUGGUAAAACCAGAGGUAGGAGCACUUUAAAGAGCAUGGCAAUAUGCUGCUGAGUGGUAGAAGAAAAGCUGAAAUGCCUAUCCAUCAGUAGUCAAUAGAUUAUUAAUCCAUGAAACCUGUACAUAAGCAGCUUGGGCAUGAGGCUAGUUGUCACUGGUAAGUAGCUUAGGGUACAUUUGAUACAUAUUUAGACAUGGUUUCCAACUACAAGAGAGCUUACUGAGGAACUAAUGAUGGUAGGUUGUGGUGCAGAGGUACGAGUCCAGUCUAAGAUGUCAAUUGUGAUUGAUUAAGGAAAGAUACCAUAAGCAACAUACCAUACAAGAUACCAUACAAAGUUAGUUAUAUUCAAAUAAGUUAUGAAAUAAAUACUUUAGUAAAUGCAACUGGUUCAUAAGCAACUUGUUGACUUGCAGAAUAUCUAAAGUAAUCUGGUUUUGUUGACAUAAAAUGUAACAUAUAUUUAUUUAAUGAAAUGUAAGUCAGUAAUGCAGUCAAUAAACUGCAAUAAAUCCAUCAUCUAAUUUAAUGAAGAUAAAGAUGGAGACAAAAAAAUAAAUAAUGGUGAAGUCUUCUGGAAUAAGGGACUAGGGAUUUUCAAGAAUGACAUAACCUGUUCAACAAUUUGCUAUUGUUGGCUCUGGUUUUCCCUCAUUUCUUGAUGAGGAACCGACAAGUAAGCAACAGGGAAGGGAUAUAACAGGAAACAGACCAGAUAAAGGAAUGAAAUUGAAUGACAGUGAAAAACUAGGAUAAGGCCCAUUGGAUGACAUCAGAGGCAAGUAAUCAGGAUUCCCUGCUCUCUCCUUCCUAAACAAGAAAGUAAUAUGAUUGUCAAAGGAAAAGGGGGAAAGAGAACUAAAAAAUAAAGUAAUAUGAUUAUCAAAGGAAGGGAGAAAGAGAAGUUGGAGUUCUAGUAAUGAGGAGGAGAAAGUGGUGACUGAUAGCUUUACUUAAACUUGUAGAUUGUAAAAAUAAUAGAAAUGUUGACAUUAUAUUAGUCAAACACUGUACUUAAUACAAGCAAAGUAGACUACAUCUUGAUUUUUCUUAUUUUAGAAGACUAGUUACGACUGCAAAGUCUGCUUGAAUUGACUGACAGAGAGGUGCCAAUGAAGAUCUUUAUAGAAUUUUUGGGGAAAAAUACCAGUAGUAUUAUUUAUGUUUAAUAAGGAAAAACAUAAUUAACCUUUGACACCUCUAGUCAUGCUGGAAGGAUGGAAAAUAUUCUUAGAUUGUCAGACUCCUACAGUCUGAAAAUAUUGCAAUAAAUACAUUAGCUUGUUUUCCUACAUUCCAAAUGUGUUCUGAUUUAGCACUUCUGGUUAUACAAUAGCCAUUAUAUGCAAACUGUCAUGUAAAUUAUUUUGUUACAACUAAGUAGCAAGACUAAGGAUGGUAAGAUGAGGGUCAGUUAUGAGGCUAGUCUGAAAGGUCAAGGCCUGUAUGUAACUUAAGAUACAGCCAACAGCAGAGUUCUCGGAACCUGAUGGCAAAUAAGAUAUAACAAGAAGUAAUGUAAAAUUGAAAUAAAUUAUAAAGAACCUUUUUCAUAAAUGCAAAUGGUUAAUGCAUAAGUAAUUAAUAUGGCGGGUGUCUAAUAAAGUUUAAUAAUAUUGAC